CCUACGGGAGGCAGCAGUGGGGGAUAUUGCACAAUGGGGGGAACCCUGAUGCAGCGACGCCGCGUGGGUGAAGAAGCGCCUCGGCGCGUAAAGCCCUGUCAGCAGGGAAGAAAAUGACGGUACCUGAAGAAGAAGCCCCGGCUAACUACGUGCCAGCAGCCGCGGUAAUACGUAGGGGGCAAGCGUUAUCCGGAUUUACUGGGUGUAAAGGGGGCGCAGACGGCGAUGCAAGCCAGGAGUGAAAGCCCGGGGCCCAACCCCGGGACUGCUCUUGGAACUGCGUGGCUGGAGUGCAGGAGGGGCAGGCGGAAUUCCUGGUGUAGCGGUGAAAUGCGUAGAUAUCAGGAGGAACACCAAUAGCGUAGGCAGGAUGCUGGGACGGUUCUGACACUAAGGCACGAAAGCGUAGGGAGCAAACGGGAUUAGAUACCCCUGUAGUC
rnacentral:rRNA from 1 species